rnacentral:tRNA from 2 species
GGGGCAUUAGGCAAGCUGGCUUAAGCCGUCACACCCUCAACGUGAAAAUCAUGGGUUCAAAUCCCAUAUGCCCUG